CCCGCACAAGCGGAGGAGCAUGUGGUUUAAUUCGAUGAUACGCGAGGUAACCUUACCGUGGGACUUUAAAUGUCUUAAUGACGUUACGUAGGGAAACUGGUAUUUCUUCGGACAUUUUGCAAGGUGCUGCAUGGUUGUCGUCAGCUCGUGCCGUGAGGUGUCGGGUUAAGUCCCAUAACGAGCGCAACCCCUAUUGUUAGUUGCCAUCAGGUCAUGCUGGGGACUCUAACAAAACUGCCCGCGUAAGCGUGGAGGAAGGUGGGGAUGACGUCAAAUCAGCACGGCCCUUACGUCCAGGGCUACACACGUGCUACAAUGGCCGGUACAGAGGGCAGCCACUUGGUGACAAGGAGCAAAUCUCAAAAGCCGGUCUCAGUUCGGAUCGGAGUCUGCAACUCGACUCCGUGAAGUUGGAUUCGCUAGUAAUCGUAGAUCAGCAAUGCUACGGUGAAUACGUUCCCGGGCCUU
rnacentral:rRNA from 1 species